GCCAUGUGUAGUUUGUCAGAUCUGGUACCCUCCUGCAGCCAGGGGAUAGGCCUGCACCAGAUCAGAGUUGUUGCCCUCCAGGCCUCAACACUGACUCAGCGUUAAUAAGAGAGGAGUUCCAGACUCAUUGACUUCUGCAGGACAGCGUAAAGGACUCAGCCCUAGUGAAACUGUUGUCUCCAAUCUCAGCCUUUGGUUUGAGGUAAACACACAUAACAUACUUCCUUUCCCAGAUGACAUUUUGCUCUUGUGAAGGCUGUUGUACUGACAACCAGCUUUGAUCAGGAAUAAACUCUUUGUGAAGAGUGCCAAAUAUGCUGUCCUGGCAGUCUGCCCAAAGCCAGCUUUGCUGAAAUUUGCCUUAAAGAGAAGAUAUGGAAGUCUCCACACACUUAUGGCAAGUCUGUGAUGGAAACAUUCCAGACAAAGAGAUCAAGGCCUGUGCAGCAGUAGGGCGGAUGCAUGGGGAGGGAGCCCCAUGCCUGGAUGCAGGUGGCAGACUCUGGGACCAGACUUAUAGGAGCAGCUGGAGGCUGAAAAAAGUACGGCAUCUGGCACCCUGUGGCAGACCCCAAACAGAUGAGGCAAUGCAUUUCCACAAGACAUUGGAGGCACCAGUGCUGCUCCGCUCGGCAGAGGCCCAUCCUUUCAUGGCUGGCAGGAAUGACAAAAGAAGUGAGGAGUCCUUCCCCUUGUGAACACCAGGAGGUGGCGGCUGCUGAGAGGAAAGCCCAUUCAUGAUACUGAACCUGCUUCAGUAACUGAUACACGGGAUACUGAACCUGCUUCCACUGCUGUUCCACCUUCAUGACGUCAGCCCUGGGUCUGCCACGUUCUUCACCAAUGAAGCACAUCCUUACUGUGGUCCAAUGAAGCACAUCCUUACUGUGGUCCUGGAGGGAAGAGGGGUGUCCUGGUGGGGUGGACUCCACUCAGGGCCCUGCCACACACCUGCACCCCAGGCAGUAGCCCUGGGCACAGCUGGCGGAGCCGCUCACACCCCUGGCCACCAGCCAGGCCUUCACCACCAGCAGCACAAAGCACUUCAGAGUCUUCACAGUUUGUAGUCACAUAACUAAUACAAAUUUACUGCUUAAUUACGUCCCAGUGAGAGAGCCUUUCUCUCCACAGAAAAUAUUAUUGAUAUCCGACAGGGCUAGUGCUGGAGGGAGGGCAGAGAGGGCAGUGGAAAUCUGCACUCCAUAAGAAAUUCUUGGAACAGGUCUUUUUUUUUACCCUCUUCUGUUUUAAGUGAUCAAUAGUUGCUUAAUUAAAAUUCAGCAACUGUAAUGCAAGUUUAAAUACAAGGUAACAAUUGUCAAUUAAUUAACAGCCACUUGAUUCAAAGCAUUUGAAGGCUGGUAACUUUGCAACUAAUUUUAUGUUUCGUAAUUCCUGUUCUCCAAUAUUGUUUGCAAAAACCAAUUGACACUUAAUUAACCUUAUGCCGUUGUCCCAUUAAAUCAAAACAAAAAGUACUUAGGACAUUCAAUUCAAUCUUUUAACAACCCUGUUAAGCAAAAUAGCCAAAGCCCCAACCACAUCUUCUUAAUGAAAUUUCUUGAAGGCACAUUCUGUCCCCAGCUUCUGGUAAAAUGGAGAUGAGUCAGAUAUCUCCUAAGGGAAAGAGAAGGGCACUGUUGCCUCAUGAAGCAGUUCCUGUACAGUUUGAAGAGUUGUUGGUUGUAUGCUGGAGAUCUUGUUGCCAUGAUCUCUACAGAGCGGAACAACACUCUCCCCUUCUGCUGUUGCAGAAAGUAAACGAAAUGAAAAAAGAAAUCACAAUGGGGCAUCUUACUGUCUUACUCUCUGUACUGAAGAGCAAAACCAAACAUUGUCAGCCACCAGAUUCUACCUUUAAAGCUAUAAACAAAUCAAUCAAUCUGCAAUCCACUAGAUAAUGGGAAUAAGAAGCCAUGACCAUGGCAAGGGCAUCACAGCCAAGAUUGUCUCACUUACAGGACACUGAAAUAACAAAUUAAAUGGAUCUCUGCAACACAAAAUGUAAGCAGGCAAAUGUAACGUAAUUCAAGUUAAGGGUAAUAAAAGAUGGUGCACCUCAGGCGUGAUCCCAGCACAUGAGAUCUGGCAGCCACCUGACCUCACAUUUACAUUUGUCUGCUAAAGUAUAUGAUGGAAAAUUUGAGGUGGUCAUGAGGACUAUGACUGAGCUGCUGGUCUGGAGACAGACUGCAUGGUACAUUUCACACCUCUCGCUUUCACUGUGGCCUGGACAGCAGUCCCACCAGGCUCAUCUAAAGGAUGAACAAACCUUCUGCCAAACCAGUUCAAAUUUACCCCAUGAGGGGUUCAUGACCACUCACUGACCCCUGCAUGGCUGCACACCAGCUCUUCAGCAUGACCCAAUUUCUCUACAGGGAAACUCCUAUUUCUGCACCACGCUUCCUUCCUAUGAGCCAUGGUCACUGAGGUCAGAGAAGGACGUCACCUCCCUUCAGUGUUGAGGGAAACAGCUCCCAUUUCACUUCAAGCUGAGGCUGACUUAGGGACAGAUUUUAGCCUCGGGUCUCUCUCCGCCUCUUCUUCCCAUUUAUUUUGACCUUCUGGUCAAAUGGUGGGAUGCAGCUAGGUUCCACGUAGGAGAAAGCUGCCAGUGCACCCACGCAUGAAAGACUCUGGGAAUGCAGAGGACCAUGUAGCAAGUAGUAAGCCUCAUUACAGAGGUGCACGUAUCUCCAUGGUUUCAUUCAUAUAAAGUCUAAGAGGAUAUCUGGAGGCAUUUAUUUCAGUGGAGAGAACAAGGUGAGCUCAAAAGGCAUUCCUGAAAAUAACAUCUAAUUUGAUCAUCUCAGCAUGAGUGGCUGAGACUGGGGUAGGUUUGGAUUAACUGACCCAAAUCUUUUUCUCUGUGCUGUAUUUUGUAUUUUAAGUGUGUAUUAAGGAAUAAUCAUCAUUAGCCAAGGUUUAGGCAGUACGUGUGAUCUAAUUCUUAACAAAUCUGAGUACACCUUAAAUAACAAUGACUAAGACAUCCUUCCCAAGUUCUAUUUCCACUCAUCUAUAAAAUAAGUAUAAACACUGUCUGUCUGUCAGUCUGUCUGUCUCUCAAGGAAGAAAAAACUUAAGUGUCUUUCUUUCAUUUUUACAUUUUGGAUGAUAUCUCAGUCCCUAUUGAUUGUUAUUGUUAUUCUUCCUUAUUAUUUCAGGCUUGUCAUGCUUUGCUUAGACACAUAUUUGAUAGUCUCUCUUUUCAAGGGUAUACAUAUGAUUACAAGUUUAUUUUCACAAAAUAUAUGGAGUGGUUAUCUCUACUAAAUACCAAAACAGCAUUCAAUCAGGAGAAUUAAGCCUGUGAAAGAGAUGUUAAGCCAAUGUCAAAGAUCUUCUAGGAAGACAGAAAUUCUAUGCAAUAACAACAUGGUUGGAUUAACUUUACAACAAAAGGAAAUUAGACUGGAUUUCUACAGAGUCAGUUUUGUUAUUCUAGCUAACAAUAUGAUUAACAUUGAAUGAAUGGUAAAGGCCCCAUUCAUGCUUCACUUAGCCCAAAUUAAUGUGACUGAUUACCCAGUCCUUCUGCUCUGGCAGAAAAUCUCACAUCUCCUAGGCCUUGAUUAUCCAGAGCGUCUCACUUUUAAGAGGACUGACCCCAGCAAGAAGGAAACAGUAGCUGAAGUCUUUGAAGCUUUUGCACUUCAUUGCCUUUCCUCUCAACAACCAGCUCCAAAUUCUUCCUUACGGGUGUAAAAGUCUAUGGCCCCUGUUAGUGAAGAAGAUCCAACCAGACUCUCUCACAGGCACACAGGUGUUAUUACAAUAAUUCCAGGAACUGUUCCUUCGUCAAGGUUGUUCAUUUUGUUGUUAAAUGAUUCCCACACUCCAUGUUGCCAAUUACCAGACCAUCCUAGAUGGAUAGUAGGUCUGUGCUUGGGAUUAGCUGCCUGCCUUCCCAAAGGAGUUUGCCUGAAUCCCCCCAAGAGCUGUAAAUUAAGCUGCUGAGGAGUAACCCCUUUCUGCCAAGCACCUGAGGAACCUGAGAAGACCAUAUGGGCUGUGAAAAUGACAAUAUGCAAAUCAAGUGCUGUUUGUGUUCACUGUGAGAAAACAGGUCGGUGCAAACUGACACCAAUUUUAGCGUGAUGAAGGCUGCAGGAAAAAUGCAAGACAUACAUUUACCCUGAGAGGCAGGAGACCAGGUGGAGGUAGAUAAUCCCCCAUUCCUUCCACUCUCUCUGCCCCUUUAUAUCACUGAUGCUCUCUCAUUGGGGACAAAACAUAAUCAACAUGGAGAUCUUUGAAUUUUUCUUCUCUUCAUUCUCCCCUAGGUACACUACAGAUCUGGUAGCGUUUGAAAUCAACACCCACCCCAACCAAAAGAAAUCUUUAGCUACAUUUAUGGAACUUAUGGAACUUGCUGGUAAACUGAAUUCUUUAUGCUGUAACACACCUGUUUUGUUUCAUGGCUGAUUCACAAGAAAGAUGCUACAUACACAGUUACACUGCACUGCCAAGGUGCUCACCAGGGUGUUGGCAUGGACCAGUGGGGAUCUUAUUGACCACGCAUCAGCUUCUGUCUCUUUAGCCAUCAAAAUACUGACCAUGCUCUCUUAAAUGUCAGUUUUAUUCAUUUAUGGUGAAUGAAGCUGCUGGCACAUAAAAUAGCAGUUAACAUCUUAGUUUUAAUAUAACUUAGAAGUAUGCAAUACUUACUACUUGCUAUAACUUACCUUGAAGUAGGCUUUUUAAAAUGUGGAUUCAAAGCACUUGAUUUAUUAUUUUUAUUUAUUUAUUUAUUACAACUGCCUCUAAUCUACCAAAGCACCGAGAGCACCAAAUCUCUUGCUCGACCGAGGGCAAAUAAGCCCUGGGCUCCAUUCCUAUAAGCCCUACGUACCUAUAUGGAUAAAUGAAAGUCAGCACAUAAACUCUGGCAGGAUUGCCAGUGCCACGUUGAGGGCAAAGCAAGAGAGGUGGCUGACCCAAGCAACACCUGAAGGGUAGCAAAUGGAAACAUAUGCACUGAGUCAAACAAGCUGCAGCUUACCUGGCUGCCAGUACUGCCCGGCAAGGUACUGGGAUGGGAGCACUGGAGAUACCACUUGAGAGCCAGGGGAAGACACUGGUGGUCCGCAGGUGGAAGACAAAUAGAGCAGGACUGAUAGCCAGAGUGAAAACUGAACACAGCUAAGGAAGUCCCAGUGUUGUCAUGUUACUUCCAUUUUUAAAGGCACGUGAGGUGGUUGAAUGCCCUACUUAGUACAAGGGGGUUUGAGGUUUGACGAUACCACUGGUAAAGCAAAGGCAGCAACUGUUUACAGUGGACUUGCCCCAGAAGAGUCAUUGAAGGAAAUGGUUCAGAUUGGUCAUUAGGCAAAUUGCUUCUAAUAUAGUUCUAAACACUGCAAACUAGGCAAAUCUGAACUGUUGUGUUACUUCAGGUGGACAAAAUCCAAGAGUAUUUUCACAGUGAAGCUAAAUAUAAAAUCAGUUAUCACUGGCUGUGAAACACCUACACAUCUUGGAGGCUUCUGAUCUUUUAGAAUGGUCAUGGGAGCUUUUCUUUGCAACAUGCCUGAUAAUUACUUAAAUAAUCUGGCUGAGGCCAUAAGGCUGAACACUAGCAUGUACUGUGGACCAUUUGACUCAGAAAAGAAGUUCUAUUCCUUCACUGGUCACUGGUUUGAUCACUGGAAACCACUGUUUUGGUUUGUUUUCACCAACUCAUGUCAGAAGCACAAAAGGAAUUAGUGAAUGAGUUCUCUAAAUUGCACACAGUCACCAAUACCAGGAGCUGCUCAUGAGAGCGUGGGAGUUCCCAAGAGGUCCUUCUGGCAUCUGCAGGGCAUAUACAUCUGGCAACAAGAACUAAACCAAAUUCCUCUCCCCAAGUAUUCUAAAAUCAACAAGAGAAGGAUGGGUACACAUCCUAAUGUUCUUCCUCGCAAGACUCUACUGUAGCUUAAUUUUUUCUUGCCAUCAUGUAGAUUAUUUCUGCAAAGGAAAACAAGAAAGAAAGGAAAAAUAAAAGGUUUCUCCAAGGAAAUGCAUGUAAUUUUCAUAGCAGAAUAAGUCCUUGAGUCAUGCAAAGGACAUCACUGUGCAAAUGCUAAAGCAGCGUGAGCAUAUUUGCCGGCCCUACAAGCUAAAAGGUUUCAUAUCUAGCAACGUUUAUGUGCAUUUUAAAAGGUAAAAAUAUGAGUUCUUACAGAAACAAACAUUUGUAAUUACAUUUGUAUACAUAUAAAAUAAGUGUUGCUCUUGGCUGGAAAAGAUAAAGGCUUGUAUGUUAAAUUGAAAAGCCCUAUAGCGCAGGAUAUAUUUCCAGAAUGAAAAAGAAAAUUUCAUUCCAUUAGAGUGUAUUGUCAUAGUUUGUCCUUAGUUAAAAAAAAAAGAAGAAUGGACAAAACCCACUGUUAAUUCUAAAGAUUUCUUAUUGGAACAAAUAAAUGCAGUCUGAGCAAGAACUGAGAAGAGAAAUUUGAUUGGAACCUGUUUGCUGUUCUACCUUUGUUUGCUGUUUUGUUGUUGUUGUUUUUCUGUUUGUCAAUUCACUACCAGAUAAUUCAUCUAUAGGUUUAACUAUGUGCACAAAAUGUUGGGUAGAGCUGAAUGAAUUUGUGCUUUUUAUAACCACCUUUUCAUCCAAAACAAGGCAUCAUGAAACCACUAGUGUGGUACACCACUGUUUUGAAGCUGAAGUUGGAAGUCAGUGAGAUAGCUAUCCACCUUCCUGACAAAUAGUACAUUGUUAUUAUGAGCAUUUAUAGAAAUGGGACAACAGUAAUAUGGCACUUGAACACCAAAGCAGUGGACAUGGAGGGAUGAUUUUCUAACAGAAUAUCAGUGAAGGAUUUGGGUUUGGGAACUUAACUCGUGACAAGAUAAAUAUUAUGUCAGAACCCAGGACAGAUUGUAUACAGAAUUGACUUCAUAACAAGACACACCUCUACAAUCACUGUUGUUGAUCAAAUGUUACACAUAUGCAUAUGUAUACCCCAUAUGUACAUACAGUAAAUGCCCAGGGCAUUAUAAACAUUUUUCUUCUAACCCCGUUGUGUCUCCCUGCGUGUUUUCCACGCUGGCCG
ensembl:lncRNA